GCGUGGCCCAAUGGAUAAGGCGUUCCCCUCCUAAGGGAAAGAUUGCGAGUUCGAGUCUCGCCGC
rnacentral:tRNA from 1 species